CCUACGGGAGGCAGCAGUGGGGAAUCUUGCGCAAUGGGCGAAAGCCUGACGCAGCCAUGCCGCGUGAAUGAUGAAGGUCUUAGGAUUGUAAAAUUCUUUCAGUAGGGACGAUAAUGACGGUACCUACAGAAGAAGCCCCGGCUAACUUCGUGCCAGCAGCCGCGGUAAUACGAAGGGGGCUAGCGUUGCUCGGAAUUACUGGGCGUAAAGGGAGCGUAGGCGGGUUAUCAAGUUGGAGGUGAAAGCCCAGGGCUCAACCUUGGAAUUGCCUUCAAAACUGAUAGCCUAGAGUAUGAUAGAGGUAUGUGGAACUCCGAGUGUAGAGGUGAAAUUCGUAGAUAUUCGGAAGAACACCAGUGGCGAAGGCGACAUACUGGGUCAUGACUGACGCUGAGGCUCGAAAGCGUGGGGAGCAAACAGGAUUAGAUACCCUGGUAGUCCACGCUGUAAACGAUGAUUGCUAGUUGUCGGACGGCAUGCCGUUCGGUGACGCAGCUAACGCAUUAAGCAAAUCCGCCUGGGGAGUACGGUCGCAAGAUUAAAAACUUAAAGGAAAUUGACGG
rnacentral:rRNA from 1 species